CCUACGGGAGGCAGCAGUGGGGGAUAUUGCACAAUGGGGGAAACCCUGAUGCAGCGACGCCGCGUGGGUGAAGAAGCGCCUCGGCGCGUAAAGCCCUGUCAGCAGGGAAGAAAAUGACGGUACCUGAAGAAGAAGCCCCGGCAAACUACGUGCCAGCAGUCGCGGUAAUACGUCGGGGGCAAGCGUUAUCCGGAUUGACUGGGUGUAAAGGGGGCGCAGACGGCGAUGCAAGCCAGGAGUGAAAGCCCGGGGCCCAACCCCGGGACUGCUCUUGGAACUGCGUGGCUAGAGUGCAGGAGGGGCAGGCGGAAUUCCUGGUGUAGCGGUGAAAUGCGUAGAUAUCAGGAGGAACACCGGUGGCGAAGGCGGCCUGCUGGACUGCAACUGACGUUGAGGCCCGAAAGCGUGGGGAGCAAACAGGAUUAGAUACCCGGGUAGUC
rnacentral:rRNA from 1 species